GACGAACGCUGGCGGCGUGCCUAAUACAUGCAAGUCGAACGCUUCUUUCCUCCCGAGUGCUUGCACUCAAUUGGAAAGAGGAGUGGCGGACGGGUGAGUAACACGUGGGUAACCUACCCAUCAGAGGGGGAUAACACUUGGAAACAGGUGCUAAUACCGCAUAACAGUUUAUGCCGCAUGGCAUAAGAGUGAAAGGCGCUUUCGGGUGUCGCUGAUGGAUGGACCCGCGGUGCAUUAGCUAGUUGGUGAGGUAACGGCUCACCAAGGCCACGAUGCAUAGCCGACCUGAGAAGGUGAUCCGCCACACUGGGACUGAGACACGGCCCAGACUCCUACGGGAGGCAGCAGUAGGGAAUCUUCGGCAAUGGACGAAAGUCUGACCGAGCAACGCCGCGUGGGUGAAGAAGGUUUUCGGAUCGUAAAACUCUGUUGUUAGAGAAGAACAAGGACGUUAGUAACUGAACGUCCCCUGACGGUAUCUAACCAGAAAGCCACGGCUAACUACGUG
rnacentral:rRNA from 1 species